rnacentral:lncRNA from 1 species
AGAUGGUUGGUGAUAGUGGAAGAAGUAGUAGGACAAAGGAGCAAAGGCAAAGCAAAGUAAUAAUAAUAAUAAUAGGACACGGUGAGAAAGUAAGCAAAAGAGUUGUUGUCAGCUGUGUAUAUAUAUAUAUAUGGUAGAGCUGAAUGAAGGUAAACUUAACGAUUGAAGAAGUUGAUGAAGGUUUAUUGGUUCAGUAACUGAAGUUAAACAAAGUUGGCUUGAGAUGGGGUGCGAACAAAAUAGUUGGAAUGAUAUUAAGGAGAUUGAAGGAGAAGCAGAAGCAGAAGCACGGAAAGAAGAGGAAGAAAGUGAGAGUGAUUAUAGCGAGGGAGUGACAGAGCAGAAAGAUUUGUGUGCAAAUGUUGGGAGUGGUCUACUUAUUUAGAAUGGCACAUGGACUCACAUGCUUCUUGCUUUCCACAACUGCCCACAGAACGGACUUCUCCCAUGUGCACUAGAAAACAAAGACACCAAAACCCCACUAUAAAUGCCCUCACAUGACUCCACCUCUUUAACUGGUACUCUUUCCCUUUGCUCCUCCACCCUCUCCCUAAUUACAAAACCUUUU